rnacentral:lncRNA from 1 species
AUGGAGGGGUAAGCCCCUGCCUUCUGCCUUUCCUGCCUUGGACUCUUGCAAUUGGGCCAGAUGAGAGGGUCCAUGUGGUCUGAGAAUUCAAGCAAUGCAGGCCAGGCAUGGUGGCUCACACCUGUAAUCCCAGGACUUUUGGAGGCUAAGGUGGGCAGGCCAGGAGUUUGAGACCAGGUGGCCAAAAUAGUGAAACCCUGUCUCUACAAAAAAUACAAAAGUUAGUCGGGCUUGGUGGUGCAUGCCUGUAAUCCUAGUUAUUUGGGAGGCUGAAGCAAGAGAAUCCCUUGAACCCAGAAGGAGCAGGUUGCAGUGAGGAGCAGGUUGCAAUGAGGAGGAGGUUGCAGUGAGGAGGAGGUUGUAGUGAGGAGCAGGUUGCAGUGAGGAGGAGGUUGCAGUGAGGAGGAGGUCGCAGUAAGGAGGAGGUUGCAGUGAGGAGGAGGUCGCAGUGAGGAGGAGGUUGCAGUGAGGAGGAGGUUGUAGUGAGGAGCAGGUUGCAAUGAGUAGGAGGUUGCAGUGAGGAG